CAGCGCGGACGCACGCCGCGGGCGCCCCAUCCUCGCCGCGGCCCCUCUGAGCGCCCGGCGGCGCCCUCCACCUCCGGCUCCCACCCACUCCAGGCGGGCGGGCGGGGAGAGCGCGGGGGCAGGGCAGGCAGGCCCGGGAAGCCCCGAGGGAGCUGCCCCCGGCCGGCCUCCAGGCGCGGGGACACCCAGGGGCGAGCGCGCACUGCACAGCCGGGACCUCACGCUUUACCUGGUGCGCUGGAGGAGCAGGUGGGAGCCCGGGUCGGGCGGGCUCGGUGUCGGCCCUGCCUCACCUGGGCGGAAGUGAGAGGCCCAGGGUGACCGCGCCUCACCUGGCAGGCCCUCCCCUCGCCCCGACUCUCCCCGCCCGGGGCGGGGCACCGGGGUGGCGCAGGGGGCGGGGGAGGGAGCCCGGGGCCGCGGGAGGCGGGCUCCAAGGAGGGAGGACGGUUGCCCUGGCUGUUUACGUGCAGGUGAAUUCCUACCGGGCGCGGGAUGGCCAAGGGCCUGGGAAAAGUGGGCUGUGGGGGCGGGGUGGCGGAUCAGACCGCGCGUGGUGGGGACAGCCGCCACUGACGGGGAGGGAGAUCCGGACAGACCGGUGUGGUUGGAGGCCUGCGUGUAGAGCGAGACCCAAGAUCAAGGAAAUUGAGGAGGAUAUCGAUGAAAGCGUUGGGUCAAUCCGCUUAACACUUUGUCUUUUUGCCCCUUUCCUUUCCUGUUCUCUCAUCCCUCCUUUGUUUUCUCUAUUCGCUGACGCAAAAUAAAAUAUUCUAAAACGUGUAAA